rnacentral:rRNA from 1 species
GCGAUUACUUCUCCCUCCGCCUGUCUGUCUCUGUGGCUGCUGCUCCCCACGUCUCCACACACCACCCACCCCCAGACCCAGCUAGGGUUUCGCUUCUCCGAUGGCGGCGGCGGGCGGCGCGACGACCUCCAUCAGGCGCGGGCCGGGCGGCGGGGGCCGGCCGAUGGACGACGAGAACCUGACCUUCGAGACCUCGGCGGGGGUGGAGGUGGUCGGCAGCUUCGACGCCAUGGGGAUCCGGGAGGACCUCCUCCGCGGCAUCUACGGCUACGGCUUCGAGAAGCCCUCCGCCAUCCAGCAGCGGGCCGUCAUCCCCAUCAUCACCGGCCGCGACGUCAUCGCCCAGGCCCAGUCCGGCACCGGCAAGACCUCCAUGAUCUCCCUCUCCGUCUGCCAGGUCAUCGAGACCAACGUCCACGAGGUGCAGGCGCUGAUACUGUCGCCAACUAGGGAACUUGCGACACAAACAGAGAGGGUGAUGCAGGCUGUUGGUAACUUCAUGAGCGUCUCUGUGCACGCCUGUGUUGGUGGCAAAAGUAUCGGCGAGGACAUUAGGAAGCUCGAGUCUGGAGUGCAUGUUGUUUCAGGAACCCCCGGCAGAGUAUGCGAUAUGAUCAAGAGAAGGACCUUGCGCACAAGAGCCAUCAAGCUCCUAGUCCUGGACGAAGCCGAUGAGAUGUUGAGCAGAGGUUUCAAGGAUCAGAUAUAUGAUGUCUACAGAUAUCUUCCCCCAGAACUUCAGGUUGUUUUGAUCUCUGCAACUCUGCCCCAUGACAUCUUGGAGAUAACUAGCAAGUUCAUGACUGAUCCAGUCAGGAUCCUUGUAAAACGUGAUGAGUUGACCCUAGAGGGCAUCAAACAAUUCUUUGUUGCUGUUGAGAAAGAGGAAUGGAAGUUUGAUACACUAUGUGAUCUUUAUGAUACACUGACCAUCACCCAAGCAGUCAUUUUCUGCAACACUAAGAGAAAGGUGGAUUGGCUUACUGAAAGGAUGCGCACCAACAACUUCACGGUGUCAGCUAUGCACGGUGACAUGCCUCAGAAGGAAAGGGAUGCGAUCAUGAGUGAGUUCAGGGGUGGCACGACCCGUGUUCUGAUCACAACCGAUGUUUGGGCUCGAGGGCUGGAUGUCCAGCAGGUCUCUCUUGUCAUUAAUUACGAUCUCCCCAACAACCGUGAGCUUUACAUCCAUCGUAUUGGUCGCUCUGGGCGUUUUGGGCGCAAGGGUGUGGCCAUCAACUUUGUGCGCAAGGACGACAUCCGUAUCCUUCGGGACAUCGAGCAGUACUACAGCACGCAGAUCGACGAGAUGCCCAUGAACGUCGCUGAUCUUAUCUGAGCUCUGGACCGGAGCGAUCCCUCCCUCUCCCUCCCUCUUUGUCUCGGUGCGAUGUUUGGGGAUUUGGUUGCGUUGCGAUGUUUGGCUGUAUUUCUGGUGCUGUAACUUGAGAUUUCUUUUGUUGCUUUGGGAACAUGGGAAGUGUAUAUAUUCUUUCUCGGAUGGAUUGACCACCAGCUCGUGUAAAACACUCUUUUGUUGUUCCGCCUAUCUUCUGAUUUGGACGCCAUGACAGACACACACUCUGUUGAUUUCGAUUUUGAUAUUAUUAGAUUUUGUUUUAGUGUUUUGGUUGAUGCCACGAAUUGUUUGACUUAAAUGUUGCGGUGUUUGCUGCUGCCAUCUAUAUCUAGGGCAUCCUCUGCUUGCCGUGUCCGCCUCGGCCGCCGUCGUCUUGGCGGCGUUCACCAGGCUCCAGAAGAUGUGUAAGCUGCCGUAGAUCAAGCACCCGAAAGAAAGAAAGCGAUUAAGAUCAAGCAUCUCAGAUGUGGUGAAAUUUUUGCGUGUGUGCGUGGACCAUUUGUCUUCACCGUCCGUCAGUACUGUAUAAACUUUUUUUUUUGAGAAAUAGCACUGUAUAAACUUUGUAUUAGUUGAUUGUUCAGCUGGUGCAAGGCCUGCGAAUUACUAGCAUGCGUGCAAAAAAAAAUUGAAGUGUUGAGACACACACAUUGGUUGGUUGUACGCUUGGGCUUUUGAAUUGGGGCACUUUUUUACGAUUCAAUUCGGGUUGUGCUGUGAGCCAGCCUUUGUGGCCUGGCAUAUAUUACGUACAUUGCUGG